AUUGAACGCUGGCGGCAGGCCUAACACAUGCAAGUCGAGCGAGCGGCGGACGGGUGAGUAAUGUCUGGGGAUCUGCCCGAUGGAGGGGGAUAACUACUGGAAACGGUGGCUAAUACCGCAUACUAUCGGAUGUACCCAUAUGGGAUUAGCUAGUAGGUGGGGUAAAGGCUCACCUAGGCGACGAUCCCUAGCUGGUCUGAGAGGAUGAUCAGCCACACUGGAACUGAGACACGGCCCAGACUCCUACGGGAGGCAGCAGUGGGGAAUAUUGCACAAUGGGCGCAAGCCUGAUACAGCCAUGCCGCGUGUAUGAAGAAGGCCUUAGGGUUGUAAAGUACUUUCAGCGGGGAGGCGUUACCCGCAGAAGAAGCACCGGCUAACUCCGUGCCAGCCGCCGCGGUAAUAC
rnacentral:rRNA from 1 species